rnacentral:rRNA from 1 species
UACAGGGGGGGCAAGCGUUGUUCGGAAUUACUGGGCGUAAAGGGCCCGUAGGCGGCCGACUAAGUCACACGUGAAAUCCCCAGGCUUAACCUGGGAACUGCGUGUGAUACUGGACGGCUUGAAUUCGGGAGAGGGAUGCAGAAUUCCAGGUGUAGCGGUGAAAUGCGUAGAUAUCUGGAGGAAUACCGGUGGCGAAGGCGGCAUCCUGGACAGUGACUGACGCUGAGACGCGAAAGCGUGGGGAGCAAACAGG